rnacentral:rRNA from 1 species
GCAGCAGCAACGGAGCCGUCGCCAGGCCAGCCCCUCGCGCCCCUCUCCUUUUUCCCUUCUCCCUGGCGUCAUCUCCUCCCUAUCUCUCUCUAAUACCCGCCAUGGCCGUCCUCUCAGGUAACCAAGCUCCAAGCACGCCGCCCCGACGCAUGGAUGCCGCCCUUCAGGGCUCGUCUUCGACCAAUCCGAGCAUAGGAACACGCUCGUCCCCGUCUUCCUGGUCUCCUCUGCGUCGCGCUUCAUCCCUCUGUCAGGAGCAGACAGAGGAGGAAGAGCCCCUGCCUACCUCGCCGGAGAUCCUCGCCUUCCGCCUGGAACCGCUGCUCCGCCGCCGUUUCCCCUCGCCGUCGACCUCCAGCCUCGCCGCCGGCCUCUACUGCUUCCUGCAACGCCAAGCCGCCCCUUCCCCUGCGCCCGUCCCGUCCGCCGCCUGCCUCUUGCCGCGCCAAGCCCGCUACCUCUCCAGCGUCGCGCCCGCCGCGGUGACCCUCCUCUGCGUCCCGCGCCGCCGCUCCUGCUUCAUUCCGGCGAGGCUCCGCCCGGAUCCGUUCGGUGUCCGCAGCCAUCGACACCUGCAUCCCCUGCUUCGUGAACGAGGAGACCGGCGCCGCACCCUCGUUGACUUGUCCCUGCGCCAGCGUGGACGAAAUCCACGUCGCCCGCGCCUGGGUCUUCUCGCACAAGGCCCAGCGGCGCCCAAGGCCCAGCUCCUCCCGAGCCGGCCCCUCUCCACGUCGCCACGCCCUGGCCUCAAGCCUGAUCCGGCCUGCCCUGCCUCCUUUGACUGGGCCUAGCCCAUGGGUGAGGCCACCCACAUCCCAGCGCCUCCCAUUUUUUUCUGUUCUGUUGGGCCUCUGCUCAGUUUUCGGCCCAUGUAGUAUUUUUUUCCCCGCUGCGAAUUUGUCUAAUUUCCAGAGAACACAGUUUUGCAGAAAACCCCUUCAUGAUCAUGCAUAUUGUAACUUACAAAUGAUGCAUCAUAUUAAAAUGUUUUAUAUAUGAAAAAUGCUUAAAAUUGUGUCUAGUUUCAUAUUGUGUCAUUUUCAUCCAUGUUUAAAAUAUUUAAAAUGAUGUUUGUUUAAAUUUGCCCCUAUGCCAUGCUAAAAUGCUUUAAUUCAUAACUAAUGAACCGUAACUCCGAAUUUAAUAAACUUCAUAUGUAAAUGGGGUAGAAAAAUGCCUAGUUUAACAUGGUGGCUUCACUUUGCAUAUUAAACAACUCUAAAAUAAUGUUUAGGGAAGAACAGUACCAAACCUAAUAUAUGCAUAUGAGGAGUUUCUGGAAAUGUUGUUCAUUGUUUCCGGCCUCAUUUAAACUUGCCUAGAUAGGUAGUUUUGUUGCGCUUCACCUCUUGCCAUGUUAAUCAACAUUUAAUAUUGUUGGGGUACAUAAACGAGAGAGAACUAAAUAAUUGUUGUGGUGUUUUGGCGAUAUGCAACUCGUUGCAUAUUGAGCUCCACUUAAUUUGUAGGAUUGUUUGUGCAUUUUGCCAUGCCAUGCUUCAUUAAACCGAACAUGCAUCAUAAUUGUUUGUGCAUCAUGCCAUGUCUAUGCGUUGGUUGUUUACUAUGUUGUUUGCUUCUUUCCGGUGUUGCUUCUUCGGGUUGGUUCCGGUAACGUCGUGUUGUGAGGAUUCGUUCAACUACGACCGUUUGUCUUCUUCAUGGACUCGUUCUUCUUUCUUGCGGGAUUUCAGCUUGCAGGUGCCGAGGUUACCUUACAGAUGACGCAACCAAGCUCAGGAGGAGCUCGAUGAAGAUCUUGUUCUUUGUGUUGUUUCAUUCUAGUUGAUCAGUAGUGGAGCCCAGUUGGGGUCGAUCGGGGACCUUUGUCGCAUUUUGGGUUCUUCUUUUAUUUUGGUUCCGUAGUCGGAUCAUGAGUGUAUUUGGUUGAUGUAAUGUUUAUUCACAUAAUUGUGUGAAGUGGCGAUUGUAAGCCAACUAUGUAUAUUUUUCC